GUUCCCUUUGGCAGCACAUAUAAUAAAAUUGGAAUGAUAAAGACAAGUUUACCAUGGCCCAUGAACAAGGAUGACACACAAAUUCGUGAAACGUUCCAUGAAUUG